UCGGGUUGUAAAGCACUUUUGUCCGGAAAGAAAACUUCUGCCCUAAUACGGUGGGAGGAUGACGGUACCGGAAGAAUAAGCACCGGCUAACUACGUGCCAGCAGCGCGGUAAUCGUAGGGUGCGAGCGUUAAUCGGAAUUACUGGGCGUAAAGCGUGCGCAGGCGGUUCGUUAAGACAGAUGUGAAAUCCCCGGGCUUAACCUGGGAACUGCAUUUGUGACUGGCGAGCUAGAGUAUGGCAGAGGGGGGUAGAAUUCCACGUGUAGCAGUGAAAUGCGUAGAGAUGUGGAGGAAUACCGAUGGCGAAGGCAGCCCCCUGGGCCAAUACUGACGCUCAUGCACGAAAGCGUGGGGAGCAAACAGGAUUAGAUACCCUGGUAGUCCACGCCCUAAACGAUGUCAACUAGUUGUUGGGGAUUCAUUUCCUUAGUAACGUAGCUAACGCGUGAAGUUGACCGCCUGGGGAGUACGGUCGCAAGAUUAAAACUCAAAGGAAUUGACGGGGACCCGCACAAGCGGUGGAUGAUGUGGAUUAAUUCGAUGCACGCGAAAAACCUUACCUACCCUUGACAUGGUCGGAACCUGCUG
rnacentral:rRNA from 1 species